CUCGCUCCCCUUUCCUGGAGCCUCAGCCUCUGGAGAAACUGGACUUUCAGGUCUGUGCAGGUGAGCGCGCCCGCGAUGGCAGAACAAGAGCUACAGGGCUGCCUCCGCAGAAGGCCAGAAACCUCGUGCCUUAACAGCAGGAAGGUGUCUUCUCCCAGUCUGGGCGAGAGAAUGCAGCCUCUAUCCGUCUCUCCCUGCUGCUGGGUGACCAUCUGACUGUGUCUCCUUGGUGUGCCCAGGGGCGACGUGCGAACACCAGGCACAGGCCCAGGCCCUGCUAUGACCUCAGCUUACCUUAGUUCCAUCUUGCAAGGCUCCCUCUCCAAAUACACACCGGUCCACCCUCACUGGUCCAGCUUACUAGAGAUUUGGGCUUGAACUUGUGAAUUUAGGGGGACACAAUUCAGCCCCAAAGACAUCCCUUCCCCGUGCAGGCGGAAAACAGAAUGCACUGAGUUGAAGUGAAGCGGACGAUGGCCGAUGGGCACACGGCACAAGGAAGCAGCAGGACGGGACAGCGGGUCUCCGGGGACAGCCCGGGGGAGAGGUCCGGGCUGCCGGAGCCGUCGUGGCCCCUUCCUCCACCAGGUUCUGAGCCGGGAGCCAGGCCGCGUGGUCCAUGUCUCCCCGGGCGGAGAUCAGAGGCUCUUCCUUUCUUUCUCGGAAUGGAUCAGGUCCCGGGAGAAGUCCGCAGAUCCCACAGACCUGUGGGUGUUUCCCGAUCAGACACAGGGAGGGGGCGGGGGAGGAGAAGCCUAAUUUCCACGACGUCUCCUUGCAAAAGAGCCUUGGCCCCAUCACACUGAGUUCUUGAUAAACGUUUUCCUCCACAUUCUGAAAGAUAACACGAGGACAGGGAACACAGACAUUCCAAAAUGCCUCCAAAAUGUAGGCCCAAGAUCCAAGCCAGUGUCCAAUAAAAAAGAGUAAAAAACCCCCAGAUCAUCCAGAGAUACGGGGUAGAGAUCACAUAAUUAAUAUGUUAGAAGGUACCACAUCCCCAGACAAGAAUAAUAUGCUCUUGAAAAGCCAUAAAAUAAAUUUCAGACAAGAAGGAGCCUAGAAAUAUGAACAAUAUGCAGGCUUAAACAGAGUCCUUCGGGGACAUUUAAAGACUGAACCUAGGACAUCUAGCAAGAACAAAAACACAGGGAAAUGGAUAAUAAAAAAAGAUGUUUACAAUCAGCAUCGAAAGCUGGGCACAGUGUCGCAAACCUGUCAUCCAAGACCAGAGAGGAGACCCCAAGUUCAAGCCUGGCCCGGGUGAUUUAGCAAGAUCUUGUCUCAAAAUUUUUUAAAAAUUAUUUUGAAGGUAGUAAAAUAUAACAGAACAAGAUGGAACAAAGUCAAUCAAGACAGUGCAGUGAAAUUGGUACAGAACUUCACAGCAGGUUACCAGGAUAACAGUAAUAGGCACCAAAGUAUAACUCGUUAUCUUCACAAUAGUUGUUCUUUCAAUCAGGUAUAGCAAAAUCAAACCUAAUACAGAACAUCAUAAAACCUAUCAAAACAGAGUAUUAAAUAGAGCAAUACCAUUAAUCAGAAUAAAGCAGAAGAGUGGUAAAAAUAUUUGCCUUCAGAGAGAUGGUAGAAGGAAAUCCCCCUUAUUUGCUAUGGUCAACCUCCCAAGAGAUGCUCAGACCUCUGUCUCCCAUUUGCUAACGGGGGGCAGGGGAGGUGCACUGGUAGGCUCGCUACCACUUAGCAGGGAGGCGGGCUGGUUGCUUGGUCUCCCAGCACCCUAAGUUCCAACAUGGUGCAGGUCUCAGGAGACACUGGUGGUUCUCCCCGUGGAGGGGCUGCAGCCUGCCACACCACAGCUGCUUACCAGGGAGUUGAGCUGGUUGCUUGGUUUCCCAGCACCCUUGUCUCAAAUUUUAAAAAAGAAUUUUAAAAAAUGAAAAAGGAGAUGUAGCUCAGUGUGAAGGCCCUGGGUUCAUCCCCCAGCAACACACACACACACACACUCACACACGCACACCCCACUGCGGCAAGUUAUCAGAAAAAAGAUAAAAUAUGACAUUAACAUAUUAUUAUUGCUAACAUAUUAACUGUUAUGAGACUUCUGAUUGAUAGGACCCACUUAGUUCUUAACCGUGAAUUCUAAAAAGACACACAUUGAUGAAAUUAUGAAAUUUCUGGACUGAGCUGUUUAAGGAGUCAAAUGAAAAUCAGGAGAAGCUGCUCACAGAGGAAGGAAGCGGUCAGCGUCAGAAUGAGAAGCGGGUGGUGGAGCCCAGCAGUGAGUGUUUGCUUAGGACGCGCUUGGGUCCUCUUCCUAGCGCUGGGAAAAAAGUCUGACAGCAUAAACGUGUUAGGAAGCUUCAGGCUGCUGGAACUUCCGACCGAGUAGGAAGUCCCGUGCAGCUGGUUUGUGUCGGCAGACACCCCACUGCAGGAGGCUGAGGCGGGAGGAUGUUGAGUUGAAGGCCAGCCUCAGCUGUGUAGCAAGAUCCUGUCUCAAAAAUAAAAAAACAUAGGAAAAGAGGCUGGGGAUGUAGCUCAGUGGUACAGACUCUGCCUAGCAUGCGUGAGGCCCUGGGUUUGAUCCUCAGCACUACGAAAAAGAAAAAGCUGGAUAGAAUGAGCCACGGACUGGUACGCACAUUUCAAUGUUAGUCAGGAUUGUUUUCUGUAUCUUUACUCGGUGGAAUUAUUCAGCUGAAACUACUUUCCUACACAUACGUCAUACGUAGUGUUUAGCAGUGACGGGAGCCUUUUAGAGCGUGCACGCAUCACCCACUGCCCGCUGCAGCACGCAGGCUACAAGCUCGCCACCACUGUGCACACACACAUAGACACAGUUGGGGUUUUGUGCAUGUAAGUGUGGGUUUUUGUGGUUGUUGUUUUGAUAGUCCUCCUGCCUCAGCCUCCUGAGGGCUGGGAUUACAGGCAUGCGCCACUAUGUCUGGCUGGAUAAACAGCUUUGAUCAAAAUAUAAUUAAGAAAUUAAAAAUCAUGCCCAAAGCCUCUCCCGUGCUCUCUCUCCCAUGGUCUUCCCCUCCCAGGCUCUUCUCAUGUCUUCUGCUCUCUGCUCCCACCUGUGUGGCUCGCAGCCCCCUCGGCUCAGACGCGGCCAUCUGUCCCACAGGGUGACCUCCCCUGCUCUCUCCGGCCGGGCCAGGCUUCUUAGCACCAGGCGCCCACAUCUCGUCUCCUCUCGGGGCCUUCGCCCUCUGACCUUCUCUCACCCUAGACCUGACUCACGCGUGGGAAGACCCUGUCCCAUUCCACCCCAGCCCACGGCGGGAGCUGAUGGACAGAGACAGCGGCCGAGCCACCAGUGAACGCCGUCGUGAGCGUGGACUGGCCACUGUCGAGGGGCACUACUGGGCAAGUACAACAGUCAUGGAUACACGGAGGGCCACGGUUGCUUCACCUCGCUGGGGCUGGACCCAUGUUCUGUGAGGUCCCGGGUCCCUUUCCCAAGAGUUGAAAAAAGCUGAUGUCCCAACAAGUACAGAAGUGGAGACGAGCAAAAGCCAGCAGAGAUCCUGCAAGGCGAGGUGCUCCACGGUGCGAAGGACACACUGGACCUUCACUUUGGGGAUGUCAGCAGCCGGGCCUUGAUUUGCACCUUCCAAAGCCCACCCUCCCUGCCUGCGACCCUCCGGCGUGACGCUAUCCUUUACCAUGGGAGACUUUCCAGGAGGCCUCCCGGAGGAAAGGAGGAAAUGCCAGGAUGGGAAGCCAGAGACCACGGCGGGCUCCCGGCACACGGUAUCCCGGAGAUUGUUAAUGAGGCGUGCGUACUGUUGAUCUCCUGAUGUCUUCAAAAGUCUCAACCAGGGACAGACAUUCAGACAACCCAGCAGAGUGAGACAGCCCAGGCUGUGUCUGAAAACCUCCGAUUGCCUAGGACACGUAAGCAGCCUCACCACCGUCAAGACCUCUGUGCUCGGACCAAGUACAGCCCUGGCCCAUCCCACGAAGGGAGUCCCCACCCCACGGGGGUGCUGCCCGCCUGGUGUGGCCUUUGUCUGAGGCCACAGAUGGACAGAAGUGUUCUUGUCCAAAUUUGGGACGACCAGGUCACAAGUAUGACUAAAAGCAUAAAACACAAAUAAAACUUGACGGAUGGGUCAAAAAGGCCAGCGAGGUAUUUGGAAGGACCUGAAAGUGAAACGGACCAAAAACAGAGGUGGCAGCUGUGUGGACAACCUAGGACGCAGGCCGAGGGUCAUGACAGAGCUGCAGCCAGAGCCCUGGACGGCAGGCAGCGCCUGCAGCUUCCGUGGACACAGUGGUCAGCUUCCUCUGCCUUCCCAGCGUGCCCUGGGGUGCUGCUUCCCUGGGGGCCCUGGAAGGGAGCCUGGACCUUCUGGGCUGCGCUGCAGGUCCUGGACGGGUCCCUGGGACAUGUGCUGGCCACACCCUUCUCCGUCUGUCAGGGGUUAGGGGCAGCAGAGUUCAGUGCUGGCCUCGGUGGGUUUUUAGUAGGAGCAGAGGUGACUACAACCAGGUGUCCUUGCCAGGCAGGAGGGGCGGUCAUGGGUUCAGGUGUGGCCCAUUGGAAGAAGGUCUCCCAAGCCAUGAACGCUUCCCAUGUCCGAUGCUUCUCCUUCCCUUCCCUUCUCUUUUCUGUACUGGGACUUGAACUCAGGCCCUUUGCACUGAGCUAUAUCCUGAGCCUACCUCCCUUUAAAAUGUCUUAUUUUGUAGGGCCCUCUAUGUUUUUAGGUUUCUCUGGUUGGGCUGGAACUUGGAAGCCUCUCGCCUCAGCCUCCCAGAGAUGAGAGGUACACACCACCACACCUGGUCCUUGACUCUAGGGCCAGAUAGCAUCUUGGAAAUCUCUUGAGGCUGCUGCUGGAAUGUUAGAUGUUAGUGAUACUCUUGGGUUUUACUGCUUAAAAUGUAGCCACAGACCUUGGCUUUUGGGAAAACUAAUUGAAGACUAAUCAUAGCACCAGAUGGGAGGCAGCCAUACCAGACAGAUGGGAUUGUGGGUAGUUUUUAAAGUUUAAAAGAAGGCUGGUGUGGUAGCACAUGCCUGUCACCCCAGCACCCCAGAGGCUGAGGCAGGAGGAUCUCUCUGAGUUAGAGGCCAACCUGGGCUACAUAGGGAGUUCAAAGCCAGUCUGAAAUGCACAGUGAGACCCCAUUUCAUAAAUAAAACAAUCAAGUUUGUCUUGAAUACAACUUAGUAAAACAAAUGGCUAUAAACAUUAAA